rnacentral:rRNA from 1 species
AUAGCGUAUAUUAAAGUUGUUGCAGUUAAAAAGCUCGUAGUUGAACCUUGGGCCUGGCUGGCCGGUCCGCCUCACCGCGUGCACUGGUCCGGCCGGGUCUUUCCUUCUGGGGAGCCGCAUGCCCUUCACUGGGUGUGUCGGGGAACCAGGACUUUUACUUUGAAAAAAUUAGAGUGUUCAAAGCAGGCCUUUGCUCGAAUACAUUAGCAUGGAAUAAUAGAAUAGGACGUGUGGUUCUAUUUUGUUGGUUUCUAGAGCCGCCGUAAUGAUUAAUAGGGAUAGUCGGGGGCAUCAGUAUUCAAUUGUCAGAGGUGAAAUUCUUGGAUUUAUUGAAGACUAACUAUUG